rnacentral:lncRNA from 1 species
UACAUGCAUCCACUGUACUGCUGACAAAAAGUCUGGUCAUCACUUGAGGGGCAUCUGAGGUCAGAUUUGAACAUGUCAGCAUAUGAGAAAUGCCUCAGAGUAUGGGGUAAGGGUGGAAGUUGGAGACCUGAUGCUGGAGUCACCACAUCUCCCACAGGGAGAAAAGGAGAACACCUCUGGGAGGCUCUGGUGACAUCCUGGAGACAUGAGAUCCAGAAGUUGUCAGUAGUUGUUAAUCUUCUUCUGCUGGGGAUUUUGAAAAUCAACUGUGUAAAAAUGGGAUGAAUACUUGCACAUCCAUAUUAUCUAAUAAAAGGUUUUCUUUCAUGGAACUUUA